rnacentral:tRNA from 1 species
UGGCUCAGUUGGUAGAGCAUGGUGUUUGCAAAGUGUUUGCAACGCCAGGGUUGUGGGUUCGAUUCCCAC